GAUGAACGCUGGCGGCGUGCCUAAUACAUGCAAGUCGAGCGAACUGAUUAGAAGCUUGCUUCUAUGACGUUAGCGGCGGACGGGUGAGUAACACGUGGGCAACCUGCCUGUAAGACUGGGAUAACUUCGGGAAACCGAAGCUAAUACCGGAUAGGAUCCUCCCAUUCAUGGGAGAUGAUUGAAAGAUGGUUUCGGCUAUCACUUACAGAUGGGGCCGCGGUGCAUUAGCUAGUUGGUGAGGUAACGGCUCACCAAGGCAACGAUGCAUAGCCGAACUGAGAGGGUGAUCGGCCACACUGGGACUGAGACACGGCCCAGACUCCUAGGGGAGGCAGCAGUAGGGAAUCUUCCGCAAUGGACGAAAGUCUGACGGAGCAACGCCGCGUGAGUGAUGAAGGCUUUCGGGUCGUAAAACUCUGUUGUUAGGGAAGAACAAGUACGAGAGUAACUGCUCGUACCUUGACGGUACCUAACCAGAAAGCCACGGCUAACUACGUGCCAGCAGCCGCAGUAAAAC
rnacentral:rRNA from 1 species